UACCAGCACAUCACGCUGUCCAGUCCAAAGGCUGCAGCAGAGCAGAGCCCAGCCCAGCCCCACACAGGAACAAGACGGGACACUGAGGACAGGACAGCCCAGCCCAGCCCAGUCCAGACCAGCUUAAUCAUCCGUCCUACCCCCUGAAAGGAUAUUGAUCUACCAGCCCUGCCCAAUCCAGCACAGCCCAGCAGCUGCCAAGCCCAGCCCAGUCCAGUCUUGCACAGCACAGCACAGCACAGCCCUCUCCAGUCCAGACCAGCCUAGCCACUCGUCCUGCCCUCUGAACCGUGGACCAUCAUAGCAGCUGCCCAUUACAACACAUUCAAGCACAGCCUAGUAGUUGCAUAUGGUUUUCGUUCUCGGGUUUGUUUAAUGAAAACAACUUGCAUUAUGAUUUAUACAAGACAUUAAACGACUGACUUUGAUGA